rnacentral:rRNA from 1 species
UACGAAGGGUGCAAGCGUUACUCGGAAUUACUGGGCGUAAAGCGUGCGUAGGUGGUUUGUUAAGUCUGUUGUGAAAGCCCCGGGCUCAACCUGGGAAUGGCAAUGGAUACUGGCGAGCUAGAGUGUGAUAGAGGAUGGUGGAAUUCCCGGUGUAGCGGUGAAAUGCGUAGAGAUCGGGAGGAACAUCAAUGGCGAAGGCGACCACCUGGAUCUACACUGACGCUGAAGCACGAAAGCGUGGGGAGCAAACAGG